UACGUAGGGUGCAGGCGUUAUUCGGAAUUACUGGGCGUAAAGCGCACGUAGGCGGCUAUUUAAGUCAGGGGUGAAAUCCCAGAGCUCAACUCUGGAACUGCCUUUGAUACUGGGUAUCUUGAGUAUGGAAGAGGUAAGUGGAAUUGCGAGUGUAGAGGUGAAAUUCGUAGAUAUUCGCAGGAACACCAGUGGCGAAGGCGGCUUACUGGUCCAUUACUGACGCUGAGGUGCGAAAGCGUGGGGAGCAAACAGG
rnacentral:rRNA from 1 species